AGAGUUUGAUCCUGGCUCAGAACGAACGCUGGCGGCGUGCUUAACACAUGCAAGUCGAAUGAGAAAGUGUAGCAAUACAUGAGUAAAAUGGCGCACGGGUCCGUAACACGUGGGUAAUCUACCUUCAGGCGAGGGACAACCUGUCGAAAGACGGGCUAAUACCUCAUAAGACCACGAGAUCGAAAGAUCUUGAGGUUAAAGGUGGCCUCUAUUUAUAAGCUAUCACCCGAAGAUGAGCCUGCGCACCAUCAGCUUGUUGGUGAGGUAAAAGCUUACCAAGGCCUAGACGGUUAGCUGGUCUGAGAGGACGACCAGCGACACUGGAACUGAGACACGGUCCAGACUCCUACGGGAGGCAGCAGUGGGGAAUUUUGGACAAUGGGCGAAAGCCUGAUCCAGCAACGCCGCGUGAGUGAUGAAGGCCUUCGGGUUGUAAAGCUCUGUCGGAGGGAACGAAUAAAGGCCACCUAACACGUGGCCAUAUGACGGUACUCUCAAAGGAAGCAACGGCUAACUCUGUGCCAGCAGCCGCGGUAAU
rnacentral:rRNA from 1 species